UACGUAGGGGGCGAGCGUUGUCCGGAUUUAUUGGGCGUAAAGGGCGCGCAGGCGGCCCGGCAAGUCGGAUGUGAAAACUCGGGGCUCAACCCCGAGCGUGCACCCGAUACUGCCGGGCUUGAGGCAGGUAGGGGAGAUCGGAAUUCCUGGUGUAGCGGUGAAAUGCGCAGAUAUCAGGAGGAACCCCGGUGGCGAAGGCGGAUCUCUGGGCCUGUCCUGACGCUGAGGCGCGAAAGCUAGGGGAGCGAACAGG
rnacentral:rRNA from 1 species